rnacentral:rRNA from 1 species
GACGAACGCUGGCGGCGUGCCUAAUACAUGCAAGUUGAGCGCUGAAGGUUGGUACUUGUGCCGACUGGAUGAGCAGCGAACGGGUGAGUAACGCGUGGGAAAUCUGCCUUUGAGCGGGGGACAACAUUUGGAAACGAAUGCUAAUACCGCAUAAAAACUUUAAACACAAGUUUUAAGUUUGAAAGAUGCAAUUGCAUCACUCAAAGAUGAUCCCGCGUUGUAUUAGCUAGUUGGUGAGGUAAAGGCUCACCAAGGCGAUGAUACAUAGCCGACCUGAGAGGGUGGUCAGCCACAUUGGGACGGAGACACGGCCCAAACUGCUACGGGAGGCAGCAGUAGGGAAUCUGCGGCAAUGGACGAAAGUCUGACCGAGCAACGCCGCGUGAGUGAAGAAGGUUUUCGGAUCGUAAAACUCUGUUGGUAGAGAAGAACGUUGGUGAGAGUGGAAAGCUCAUCAAGUGACGGUAACUACCCAGAAAGGGACGGCUAACUACGUG